GAUCAUGGCUCAAAACGAACGCUGGCGGCAUGCCUCAUUCAUGCAAGUCAAACGAGGCCCUUCGGGGUUUAGGGGCGCACGGGUGCGUAACGCGGGGAAAUCUGCCCUUUGGUUCGAAAUAACAGCUGGAAACGGCUGCUAAUACCGGAUGAUGACAAAAGUCCAAAAAUUUAUCGCCAAAGGAUGACCCCGCGUUGGAUUAGGUAGUUGGGGGGGUAAAGGCCUACCAAGCCGACAAUCCAUAGCUGGUCUGAGAGGAUGAUCA
rnacentral:rRNA from 1 species